rnacentral:lncRNA from 1 species
UUGUAGGAGGCGAAGACGUCGACGCGGUCGUAGUAGAUGCCGAUGCGGUCGUUGGGGUUGCGAGUGGAGAUGGUCACCUGCAGCGUGGAGGAGAGGAGGUUCUCCGGGGAGGAGACGUUGAAGGCGGACACGGAAGCGUCUUGGAGGUAGAUUUUGGGCUUGGUGGGGCGGAGGACGAGCCAGAUGACGAGGAUGAUGAAGAGGAUCAGUAUGAUGAAGCCCAGGAUCAUGGCGAAGAUCAGGCGGGACAGCUUGUGGCCCUUGCCGCCGUCUUUCUCCUUGGCCGACAUGGUGCCGCUGGUUCUGGUCGUGGAACCGCCGCCGCCGCUGCCGCCGGCGAGGAGUUGGAGUACUGGGAGAGAUGGGCUAGGGGAGGAGUGGGGAGGGAGUGGGCGAGAAGGGGAGAUGGUGUGAU